rnacentral:rRNA from 1 species
UACGUAGGGGCCGAGCGUUGUCCGGAGUUAUUGGGCGUAAAGGGCGCGUAGGCGGCCUGAUAAGUAGGGGGUGAAAUCCUGCGGCUUAACCGCAGGGCUGCCUUCUAAACUGUCAGGCUAGAGCACAGUAGAGGCAGGUGGAAUUCCCGGUGUAGCGGUGGAAUGCGUAGAGAUCGGGAAGAACAUCAGUGGCGAAGGCGGCCUGCUGGGCUGUUGCUGACGCUGAGGCGCGACAGCGUGGGGAGCAAACAGG